rnacentral:rRNA from 1 species
UUGCUCAGGACGAACGCUGGCGGCGUGCCUAAUACAUGCAAGUCGAACGCACUCUCGUUUAGAUUGAAGGAGCUUGCUCCUGAUUGAUAAACAUUUGAGUGAGUGGCGGACGGGUGAGUAACACGUGGGUAACCUGCCCUAAAGUGGGGGAUAACAUUUGGAAACAGAUGCUAAUACCGCAUAAAACCUAACACCGCAUGGUGUAGGGUUGAAAGAUGGUUUCGGCUAUCACUUUAGGAUGGACCCGCGGUGCAUUAGUUAGUUGGUGAGGUAAAGGCUCACCAAGACCGUGAUGCAUAGCCGACCUGAGAGGGUAAUCGGCCACACUGGGACUGAGACACGGCCCAGACUCCUACGGGAGGCAGCAGUAGGGAAUCUUCCACAAUGGACGAAAGUCUGAUGGAGCAACGCCGCGUGAGUGAAGAAGGUUUUCGGAUCGUAAAACUCUGUUGUUGGAGAAGAAUGUAUCUGAUAGUAACUGAUCAGGUAGUGACGGUAUCCAACCAGAAAGCCACGGCUAACUACGUGCCAGCAGCCGCGGUAAUACGUAGGUGGCAAGCGUUGUCCGGAUUUAUUGGGCGUAAAGCGAGCGCAGGCGGUUUCUUAAGUCUGAUGUGAAAGCCUUCGGCUCAACCGAAGAAGUGCAUCGGAAACUGGGAAACUUGAGUGCAGAAGAGGACAGUGGAACUCCAUGUGUAGCGGUGAAAUGCGUAGAUAUAUGGAAGAACACCAGUGGCGAAGGCGGCUGUCUGGUCUGUAACUGACGCUGAGGCUCG